rnacentral:rRNA from 1 species
GAUGAACGCUGGCGGCGUGCCUAAUACAUGCAAGUCGAGCGAACAGACGAGAGUGCUUGCACUCUCUGACGUUAGCGGCGGACGGGUGAGUAACACGUGGGUAACCUACCUAUAAGACUGGGAUAACUUCGGGAAACCGGAGCUAAUACCGGAUAAUAUUUAGCUUCGCAUGAAGCAAUAGUGAAAGACGGUUCUGCUGUCACUUAUAGAUGGACCCGCGGUGUAUUAGCUAGUUGGUGAGGUAACGGCUCGCCAAGGCAACGAUACAUAGCCGACCUGAGAGGGUGAUCGGCCACACUGGGACUGAGACACGGCCCAGACUCCUACGGGAGGCAGCAGUAGGGAAUCUUCCGCAAUGGACGAAAGUCUGACGGAGCAAUGCCGCGUGAGUGAAGAAGGUUUUCGGAUCGUAAAACUCUGUUGUAAGGGAAGAACAAGUACGUUAGUAACUGAACGUACCUUGACGGUACCUUACCAGAAAGCCACGGCUAACUACGUG